CAGCAGUCGAGAAUUUUUCUCAAUGGGGGAAACCCUGAAGGAGCGACGCCGCGUGGAGGAUGAAGGUCUUCGGAUUGUAAACUCCCUCAUUUGGGAACAAUUGUUGGCGAUUAACUGUCGUCAGCUUGAUAGUACCAGAAGAGGAAGAGACGGCUAACUCUGUGCCAGCAGCCGCGGUAAUACAGAGGUCUCAAGCGUUGUUCGGAUUCAUUGGGCGUAAAGGGUGCUAGGUGGCGUCGUAAGUCAGGUGUGAAAUCUCGGGGCUCAACCCCGAAACUGCACUUGAUACUGCGAUGCUCGAGUACUGGAGAGGAGAUUGGAAUUUACGGUGUAGCAGUGAAAUGCGUAGAUAUCGUAAGGAAGACCAGUGGCGAAGGCGAAUCUCUGGACAGUUACUGACACUGAGGCACGAAGGCCAGGGGAGCAAACGGGAUUAGAUACCCCGGUAGUCCUGGCAGUAAACGGUGCGCUUUUGGUGUGGGAGGAUUCGACCCCUUCUGUGCCGGAGCUAACGCGUUAAACGCGCCGCCUGGGGAGUACGGUCGCAAGAUUAAAACUCAAAGAAAUUGACGGGGGCCCGCACAAGCGGUGGAGUAUGUGGCUUAAUUCGAUACGACGCGAAGAACCUUACCUAGCCUUGACAUGCAUCUCUAAGUCGGUGAAAGCCGGCGAGUGUAGCAAUACACAAUUUGCACAGGUGCUGCAUGGCUGUCGUCAGCUCGUGUCGUGAGAUGUUGGGUUAAGUCGCGCAACGAGCGCAACCCCUGUGAACUGUUGCCACCGGCCUUCGGGCCGAGCACUCUGUUCAGACUGCCCUGUGAAACGGGGAGGAAGGUGGGGAUGACGUCAAGUCAGCAUGGCCCUUACGGCUAGGGCUGCACACGUACUACAAUGCUCAGUACAGAAUGAACCGAAACCGCGAGGUGGAGGAAAUCCCUAAAACUGAGCCCAAUUCGGAUUGGAGGCUGCAACUCGCCUCCAUGAAGCCGGAAUCGCUAGUAAUGGCGUAUCAGCUACGACGCCGUGAAUACGUUCCCGGGCCUUGUACACACCGCCCGUCACAUCAUGGAAGUCACUUGUACCCGAAGUGCAUGCGCCAACCGCAAGGAGGCAGUGCCCUAAGGUAUGUGCGGUAACUGGGAUGAAGUCGUAACAGGGUAGCCGUAGGGGUACCUGCGGCUG
rnacentral:rRNA from 1 species